AUUGAACGCUGGCGGCAGGCCUAACACAUGCAAGUCGAACGAGUGGCGGACGGGUGAGUAAUGUCUGGGCAACUGCCUGAUGGAGGGGGCUAACUACUGGAAACGGUAGCUAAUACCGCAUACCAUCAGAUGUGCCCAGAUGGGGUUAGCUAGUUGGGGGGGUAACGGCUAACAAAGGCGACGAUCCCUAGCUGGUCUGAGAGGCUGACCCGCCACACUGGAACUGAGACACGGUCCAGACUCCUACGGGAGGCAGCAGUGGGGAAUCUUGAACAAUGGGCGCAAGUCUGAUGCAGCCAUGCCGCGUGUAUGAAGAAGGCCUUCGGGUUGUAAAGUACUUUCAGCGGGGAGGCGUUACCCGCAGAGGAAGCAACGGCUAACUCCGUGCCAGCAGCCGCGGUAAUAC
rnacentral:rRNA from 1 species